rnacentral:rRNA from 1 species
UACGAAGGGGGCGAGCGUUGUUCGGAUUUACUGGGCGUAAAGGGCGCGCAGGCGGCCAUGUUUGUCAGGCGUGAAAGCCCCGGGCUUAACCUGGGAACUGCGCUUGAGACGGGAUGGCUUGAGAUCGGGAGAGGAGAGUGGAAUUCCCAGUGUAGAGGUGAAAUUCGUAGAUAUUGGGAAGAACACCGGUGGCGAAGGCGGCUCUCUGGACCGAUACUGACGCUGAGGCGCGAAAGCGUGGGGAGCAAACAGG